rnacentral:tRNA from 1 species
AGGAUAAUAGUUAAUAAUAACAUUUGAUUUGCACUCAAAAAGAACUGAUGCCAGUUUAUCUU